rnacentral:tRNA from 1 species
GCCUGGGUGGCUCACUUGGUUGAGUAUCUGACUUUGGCUCAGGUCAGGAUCUUGCAGUUUGUGAGUUCGAGUCCCACGUCGGGCU